CAAGUCGAACGCGCAGUUUUCUGUAGCAAUACAGGGAAUGGGCGCGUGGCGAACGGGUGCGUAACACGUGGAUAACCUUCCUUCAGGUGGGGAAUAACCCCGCGAAAGCGGGGCUAAUACCGCAUAACAUGACGAUGGCACAUGCUGUUGUCCUCAAAGCCGCGAGGCGCCAGAAGAGGGAUCCGCGGCCGAUUAGCUUGUUGGCGAGGUAAUGGCUCACCAAGGCAAUGAUCGGUAGCCGGUCUGAGAGGAUGAUCGGCCACACUGGAACUGAGACACGGUCCAGACUCCUACGGGAGGCAGCAGUGGGGAAUCUUGCGCAAUGGACGAAAGUCUGACGCAGCAACGCCGCGUGGGGGAUGAAGCUUCUCGGAGUGUAAACCCCUUUCGACCCGGACGAAUGCCCGCAAGGGUUUGACGGUACGGGUAUAAGAAGCCCCGGCUAACUACGUGCCAGCAGCCGCGGUAAAACGUAGGGGGCCAGCGUUGCUCGGAAUUACUGGGCGUAAAGGGUCCGUAGGCGGUGUGGCAAGUCGGUAGUGAAAUCUCUGGGCUUAACUCAGAGGCUGCUUCCGAAACUGCUGUGCUAGAGUGCGAGAGAGGCGAGUGGAAUUGCGGGUGUAGCGGUGAAAUGCGUAGAUAUCCGCAGGAACAUCCGAGGCGAAAGCGGCUCGCUGGAUCGCAACUGACGCUGAGGGACGAAAGCUAGGGGAGCAAACAGGAUUAGAUACCCUGGUAGUCCUAGCCCUAAACCAUCAGGACUUGGGGUUUGCCCUGUACGGGGCAAGUCCCGUAGCUAACGCGUUA
rnacentral:rRNA from 1 species